CGGUGGCUAAUACCGGAUGUGCCUAUGGGUAAAAGGCUUGCUGCCUGAAGAUGAGCUCGCGUCUGAUUAGCUAGUAGGUGGGGUAAAGGCUUACCUAGGCGACGAUCAGUAGCUGGUCUGAGAGGAUGAUCAGCCACACUGGGACUGAGACACGGCCCAGACUCCUACGGGAGGCAGCAGUGGGGAAUUUUCCGCAAUGGGCGAAAGCCUGACGGAGCAAUACCGCGUGAGGGAGGAAGGCUCUUGGGUCGUAAACCUCUUUUCUCAGGGAAGAAGAAAGUGACGGUACCUGAGGAAUCAGCAUCGGCUAACUCCGUGCCAGCAGCCGCGGUAAUACGGAGGAUGCAAGCGUUAUCCGGAAUGA
rnacentral:rRNA from 1 species